rnacentral:misc_RNA from 1 species
ACUUCACUGCCUGUGAGCUUGCAGCACCUUUAUGUGUGUGCUGCAAUAUGCAUUGUUUAUUUUUGUUGUUGUAGGUUAAACACAAAAAAACGUUUAUGUGCGUAGAACGUCACUGUUUUCUGCGCAGGUUCAUUCGUUACCUUAGAAACAUUAUGUAUAACUCUGCCAAAGCUUAUAUACAUCUGGAAAAAGACAAUUUAUACAUGUCAUAAGAUGAUACAUGUAAUUCUAAAAUUAAAAACAAAUAAAACUCG